GAUGAAGAACGUAGCGAAAUGCGAUAAGUAGUGUGAAUUGCAGAAUUCAGUGAAUCAUCGAAUCUUUGAACGCACAUUGCGCCCCUUGGUAUCCCGAGGGGCAUGCCUGUUCGAGCGUCAUUUCACCACUCAAGCCUGGCUUGGUGUUGGGCGACGUCCCCUUUAGGGACGCGCCUCGAAACGCUCGGCGGCGUGGCACCGGCUUUAAGCGUAGCAGAAUCUUUCGCUUUGGAAGUCGGGGCCCCGCCUGCCGGAAUACCUACUCGUAAGGUUGACCUCGGAUCAGGCAGGGAUACCCGUUGAACUUAAGCAUAUCAAUAAGCGGAGGA
rnacentral:misc_RNA from 1 species